rnacentral:rRNA from 1 species
GAUUAACGCUGGCGGCAUGCCUAAUACAUGCAAGUCGAACGGAGGAUACUUCGGUAUCCUUAGUGGCGAACGGGUGAGUAAUACGUAGGUAACCUACCGAUAAGCCGAGGAUAGCCAUUGGAAACGAUGGAUAAUACUGGAUAGGACAUCAUAAUGGGCAUCCAUAGAUGUUUAAAGGAGCGAUCCGCUUAUUGAGGGGCCUGCGGCGCAUUAGCUAGUUGGUGAGAUAAAAGCCCACCAAGGCGAUGAUGCGUAGCCGGACUGAGAGGUUGAACGGCCACAAUGGGACUGAGAACGGCCCAUACUCCUACGGGAGGCAGCAGUAGGGAAUUUUCGGCAAUGGACGAAAGUCUGACCGAGCAAUGCCGCGUGAACGAAGAAGUAUUUCGGUAUGUAAAGUUCUUUUAUUAGGGAAGAAAAGUUAAGAUUGACGGUACCUAAAUGAAUAAGCUCCGGCUAACUACGUG